rnacentral:rRNA from 1 species
AGAGUUUGAUCAUGGCUCAGGACGAACGCUGGCGGCGUGCUUAACACAUGCAAGUCGAACGAGGUCCAUGAAGUAGCAAUACUUCGGAAGACCUAGUGGCGAACGGGUGCGUAACACGUGAGGAACUUGUCCCGGUCUCUGGGAUAACAGUUGGAAACGACUGCUAAUACCGGAUGACGUCGGAGCGUCGCAUGGCGCGCUGACGAAAGGGUUACUGGAUCGGGAGAGCCUCGCGGCCUAUCAGCUUGUUGGUGGGGUAACGGCCUACCAAGGCAUCGACGGGUAGCUGGUCUGAGAGGAUGAUCAGCCACACUGGGACUGAGACACGGCCCAGACUCCUACGGGAGGCAGCAGUGGGGAAUCUUGCGCAAUGGGCGAAAGCCUGACGCAGCAACGCCGCGUGCGGGAAGAAGGCUCUCGGGUUGUAAACCGCUUUCAGCAGGAACGAAAAUGACGGUACCUGCAGAAGAAGGUGCGGCCAACUACGUGCCAGCAGCCGCGGUGACACGUAGGCACCAAGCGUUGUCCGGAUUUAUUGGGCGUAAAGAGCUCGUAGGCGGUUCGGUAAGUCAGGUGUGAAAACUUUGGGCUUAACCCAAAGCGUGCAUCUGAUACUGCUGUGACUAGAGUUCGGUAGGGGAGUGGGGAAUUCCUAGUGUAGCGGUGAAAUGCGCAGAUAUUAGGAGGAACACCGGUGGCGAAGGCGCCACUCUGGGCCGAAACUGACGCUGAGGAGCGAAAGCGUGGGUAGCAAACAGGAUUAGAUACCCUAGUAGUCC